rnacentral:rRNA from 1 species
CCAAUAGCGUAUAUUAAAGUUGUUGCAGUUAAAAAGCUCGUAGUUGAAUUUCGGGACCAAUAUGUCGGUCGUGCUUCGGUACGUACUUGCCUUAUUGGUUUCUCCCUUCUGAAGAACCAUGAUGUCAUUAAUUUGGUGUCUUGGGGAAUCAGGAAUGUUACUUUGAAAAAAUUAGAGUGUUUAAAGCAGGCUCACGCUUGAAUACAUUAGCAUGGAAUAAUGAAAUAGGACGUUUGAUUCUAUUUUGUUGGUUUCUAGGAUCGACGUAAUGAUUAAUAGGGAUAGUUGGGGGCAUUAGUAUUCAAUUGUCAGAGGUGAAAUUCUUGGAUUUAUUGAAGACUAACUACUGCGAAAGCAUUUGCCAAGGAUGUUUUCAUUAAUCAAGAACGAAAGUUAGGGGAUCGAAGACGAUCAGAUACCGUCGUAGUCUUAACCAUAAACUAUGCCGACUAGGGAUCGGAUGAUGUUAAUUUUUUAAUGACUCAUUCGGCGCCUUACG